rnacentral:lncRNA from 1 species
GACCCACCUGAGCUCCUGAUCUCAGAGCACUGGGAGUUAAAGCGUUAACGCUGCAGUUCCGUGGACUGUCGGUAGUUGUGGUGCUGUCUCGGAAGAGAAGAACAACUCCAUCCCCCAGAGGACUCUGCGUUUCCGUUCCGAAGGAAAGCUACAACUGCUCGCAAAUCACGGGACGCCCCUGUUUUUUCCCUUUCCGCUCGUGUCGGCAGCGUGUGCGAUCCCCGACCGUCUCGCGUUCAGCAUCCGACUCUUUUCCUAGGGAAGCAGUCGCCUUCAGGCUUGCUUCCAGUAAGCUGUAAGAUCCUCUAGCUGGUACAUGCUGUCCCUCCAUAUAAUUUCUGCACUUGCUGAACUGCUUGGACUGAAGAUCAAAGUCCCUUUUCCCAGCCAUAGUGUCACCACUGAGUUUCUUUAAACGCAUCUACAUUAAGCAACAAGUAGUCAGACUGCUGCUGCUGAUUGCCUCAACUUUUUAGAGGAUGUUCUUUAAAUUACAGUGCUAUUGGUGAAAUUGUGCGUCAUUAGAGACUCAAACUGAGAUACAAGAAGCUUGAAGAUGCCCUUGCAAAUAAAAUCAUCUACACAGAGGCUCACUAACGAAAUGCCCUUGCUAAUAAAAUCAUUAAUGCAGAGGCUUGUGAAGGAGAUGCUUUCUAAGAUCCUCAAAGCACGGAUGUAAGGAGCCUCAGCACAGCUGAAUCCACUCGUAGUCCCAGAGACAGUGGUUAAUGUUGAAGGGAUCCGAUGGGCAUAAUCAACCUCAGCGAUAAUCUUAACUAAGUUAACAAAGCUGAAAGCGAACCAGCAGUCAGUACCGAGGAUCUGUAUGGGCAAGGUGUCUUGAUGCCAAGCACCAAAAGAUGUCUGUGCAGGGGUGUAGAACAAAUGAAGGCAAUGACAGAGAGUUUAUUUGAGAAAUAGGCACACGAGGAAAAGAUAUCAAAAUGAAUUGACUCACCCCUCCCAGUAACAGCGCGCAGAGAGAGACAAGCUGAGGAAUGUGUUCCUCCCCCGUUCAUACCGUCAUGCCGCCGGAGAGAAGGGCGGGGGCAAAGAGAGGGACCCGCGCAGACUCAGACUGCACAGGAAGUAUUGCAGAGCCAGAAGGGGUGGCUCCAGACCACCACCACCACCCCCCCCCCCCCCCGGUUCCAGGCACCACAGAAGCACCUCUACUCAAGGGCAGUUUGCAUUGUGCAGCGCACGGCAGUGCAGGAGAGAGUGGACCUGCUGAGAGAGGGGACGCCUUUGGCGCGCCCCAAGAUUUCUUGGAAGGACUCCCUUCCUCACCCGAUCACUGCAGGGACAGACAAGGACUAUCCAUGGGUGAACCAGGUAUGUGUAUGGAAAAGGGGGAACCCAUAAGGCAUGAGGAGACGUCCUAUGCAGGGUAUGAAGGAGUGUGCCUGCUCCUCCCCCGAGAUACGUGAGCUCAUGGGUUAGGUUGCUGGCUGGGGUAGAAAGACUCCUUGGGGAGUUCCUACAAAGGGGACCUGUAAGUCGUACGCGAGGAAAGAGCAACAGCUCUCCCUUAGGUGAUUCGUAACAGCGGGGAUUUUGUCAAAUGAUAACGUGGAUUCUGCUGGAGAUAGUAGUGGGAGUUAUAGGUCGUAUUAUUGUUAUCAUCUGUAGGAAAUCAGCGGGAGAAAUGCGACGACCAUAGUAGAUGAUCAGCAAAUCUCGUUUAUUGUUUCAGCUGCGUGUACAUUUAUAGUGUGGAUAAAAGGCUCAUACAUAUUGCUAAAGUGGAGCUCAGGAUUGGCUCACUAGUCAGUGUCAACUACGUCUAUCUUUGUGCUCUGUGGUUAUCUCUCAGCAAACACUCUCUUACAGACUUCUCAAAACACUGUUGCCGGCUUUCUCCAUCGGCAUCCUGUUUUGUUCCUUGUUCUCAUACCUGACCUUGCGCGUAACAAGGUUGCUUAACCAGCUGCACAGUGUCUGCAUGGCUUUUCUCAGUCAGCCAGUCAUCAAUAAAUCUCUCCACAAUCAUCAUCUGCUGAGUGUUCGGUACCAUGUAUCUAAUCAUUUCAAGUCAAGCUGACUUUCAGAAAAAUCUUAAAGUUUGCAGCUGAUCGACUAAUGUACUAGUGUUAUUAUGAUUCCAACUAAAGGACAUCAUCAGCACUGUGAAUGGGUUCUCGGGAAUGUAGUGAAUAUGUAUCCAAAUUCCUGUCAACUAUUGAUUAUGUAUUAGUUUGACUUAUAUCUAUAGCAUGAUUUCUUCAGACGGUGUGCAAGUUAGGUGGAACGAUCCCCCUUGCCCCAGGGUAUACGCGUGUCACCAAUAAACACAUACCUGCUCUAUAUUCUUACUGGCUAUAGGGUCUGAUUUCCGCACGUCACUGCUACUCAUUGUCUUCCUAUGCAAGUUCUUGUGUGCAGGCCAGGCGGGAGGAGGAAGGUGGGAGAAAGAAAGAAGGGCAGAGAGGGGAGCACACUGGCGCACUGGCUUUGCUGUGGAGGAAGCCUGGUGAGAGCAGUACUGCUGAUCUAAGCCCCAGCUGGUUUUAACCCUCAGGCAGUUCCCUGCAGGUGGGCUGAGGAGGGUGUUGUUUG